AUCAGCCUUUCGUGUGCGAUUCUGUGGAGUUUGAGGAGCUUAACACCUUCAUGCUUUGCAUAUUCGUGCUCUUGGGUGUACUUGCCCGUGUGGUUGGUUAACAUCAAUUUUGGUGUUCAAAAAAUGACUGGAGGAAUGUAGCUUCGAUCUUGUAUUGAAGUGUUAUAGCCUUCGGUAGAUGUGAUGAUCGAGAUUGAGGAUUGCAACGGAUACCCUUCGGGGCUACCUGUCUGAUCUCUGAUCGUUGCUCUGGUGCCGAAAGCUUGCUUACGGUUAUCAAAGUCGAUGGUCAAUAGGUUAGAACGGGUUAAAUUCGUUAAGGAUGUUGACGUAAUGGCUUU
rnacentral:rRNA from 1 species